AGGAUCUCUGCUGUUAUGUGACACUUCCUACGGCUCCCAUGGGCUCUCAGAAGGCGGCAAAAAGCUGAAUCGUGGCUUUGCAGGCUCUGGCUGAAAAAAAGUAGCGCGUUUGGGUAGUGGCUGGUUACAGUACUGUGAGACUCAGGCUCGUGCCCGAGUCGACCCCAUGCUUUGUUUUCUUUCGUCUGUUUACCUAAACGCAGAUUCCCGGUCGGAAUAUUAUCGCUUUUUUACGAGAAAAAUGGCAUAAAAAUUGAUUUUAAACAGCGGUUGACAUGCUUCGAAGUACGGUAAUGGAAUAUUUAGAAAUCUUUUGUCACGAAUUGCGCCAUGCUCGUGACCCUUAUUUACACUUCGGAUAGUGUCUUGAACGCACGAAGAAAACGCAGCUGUUUGGAUAUAACGAUGGAUUAUUUUGAACCAAACCAACAUUUGUUAUUGAAGUAGCAGUCCUGGGAGUGCAUUCUGACGAAGAACACCAAAGGCCCAUGGGAAGUGAAUGCAGUGGAUCCCUGUUUGUAACGAGCACAUGGCUACUGAGGAAACGUAUGAGAUGACUGAAAGAAUGACUCUUGCCUCCUGGGCUGCACGACUUCCUGUGCCCCUCUGUGUUUGAUUUUGGUAUUGGAUUGUCUUUUUUACUUGCAUUGGCUGAAUAAAAUGUCAUUUUAAGAUGGAACCAACUAAGCUGUUUCCUAUUAAAAGUCACCCCUUUCAGGAAACUAGGCGUAUGUCACGGGUCACUACCACAGGAGAACAGUUGGACCUUUUUUUAUCAAAAUGCGGGGGGGUUUUGGGGCAGAAAUGCCUUCUUGAACAUGUGAACUUUCAUGUGCCUUAAGAACAAACUUGUAUGCCAUCUGUAAAUACAAAUUAAAUUAUUAAAUUAGGAGCCUAGUUGGUUUAGCCACAGAAAAAGAGAGAAACCUUCCUGAUAGCCAUGAUCGGCUGAGAUAAUGAGUGGGCUGGACAUGCUGAAAGAUGAGUUUGGAUUUGUCUGCCAUAUAACAUGCUAAGGUCUAUUUGAGCUGGUCAAUAUGUCUAGGUAAUCCUGUCUAAUGCAUUUAAAAAAAAAUGCAUUGUGUAUUAAAACUGGAUAAUGGUGCUCACCACUUUCUGGAGGACCGAGUUUUGAAAUUAGUGUAAUUUGAGUCUGAUAGCUAAGGAGAUGGCGAAGACACCUGUUUCCGGAUGACAUCGUCAAACUAAGGGCAACCAUAGCAUCCGACAGGAGACUUGUCCGUCCAUGAAUGAUGUAUACGAGUAAGACAGUCUAGCUACAGUGACUUGCAAAAGUAUUCACCCCAUUGGCAUUUUUCCUAUUUUGUUGCCUUACAACCUGGAAUUAAAAUAGAUUUUGGGGGGUUUGUAUCAUUUGAUUUACACAACAUGCCUACCACUUUGAAAAUGCUAAAUAUUUUUUUGGGGGGAAACAAACAAGAAAUUAGACCCCCAAAAAUUACUUGAGCAUGCAUAACUAUUCAUCGCCCAAAAGUAAAUUCUUUGUAGGGCCACCUUUUGCAGCAAUUACUGCUGCAAGUCUCUUGGGGUAUGUCUCUAUAAGUUUGACACAUCUAGCCACUGGGAUUUUUGCCCAUUCUUCUAGGCAACACUGCUGCAGCUCCUUCAAGUUGGAUGGGUUCCACUGGUGUACAGCAAUCUAAGUCAUACCACAGAUUCUGAAUAGGAUGAGGUCUGGGCUUUGACUAGGCCAUUCCAAGACAUUUAACCCUUUCACGCAUGAGUUCCAAAUAUCUCUAACGGUCGCCCCAGCGUGAGUUUUUUAAUGCACGUGAUGUUCGAACGUUCUCUCCAUUCCAGGAUGUGAUUGUUACAUAAACAACAACACUGAAUGGCUCAGAGUGGGAGUGAGAGGUUACCGUGAUUGACUGCCUGCACGCGCCAUUUGUAUCAAUAAAUCACUAUCAGAAAAUGUUUUGUGUGGUAUUAUUGAUAUAUUUAGUAUUUUAUUGACGUUUUUCAAUUACCCGUGAUAAAUCAUGCAUUCCGAUUUUUGCAUAAAUUGUAAUGGGCGCAUAGUAUGUGUGUAAAAUAAUGUUUUGAAGGUUGUACUGAUUAUGAUGAGCUAAGCUAAUUCCAGCUAUGUGUAUGGAGCCAUGUUUGUUGACAUACAAUGCAUUCUGGGUUUCACGUAAUCAUCCAUUUGACCAAAGAUG
rnacentral:lncRNA from 1 species